GGAACACGGGUCCAUGUGGUUCUCGAGGUGGCUAUCAAUGUUGGGGACUCCAGCUGUAGACCAAACACCUAUUCAACCUGAGGUGUAGCGCUAAACCCAUCUGCUGGGCGAAUUAAACACUACAUCGGAAAACAAAGCUUCAGCUUCAGUUUCAACUUUUGGUGUUUCAAAUGAGGGUUAAGGGUUUGAAAUGGUCAUGGUUUUAAAGGACGGUUUCGAGGAAGGAUUACCAUCUAAAGUAGGUUUAGAGUCUGGGUUAGGUGUUCAAACAAGUGUUUUGGGUUCAAAGUAGGGUUUCAAGCAACUGAUAGGUAGGUAGUUCGUGAUCCCUUUCAAUAACGUGAAGUGGGAGGAUGAGGUCCAAAACGAGGCCCAUGUGCCUCAUGUUUACUCAACAUUCCUGUCAGUGCGCAGCUUUACCACCAGACAGGGAGCAAGCGGGCCGGCACAUUUCCGCUCACACCUCGUGGAGGGCGGCAGGGAGCAGUUCGAGAAUGACGCCGUCGCCAGUUCACAGGGGCUCUCUGUCGUCGGGUUUAAGUCUUCAGCCAGCGGCUCUCCGGUGGCCGGUGCUGUAGUAAAAUGCAGCGGGCCACACUGGCAGCGCUGGUCGGCCUAGCUGAGCGCGGCUGCUCGCCCCCGCCGCGCCCGUUUAUGAUCUAGUAUUUUCUUUCUCUUUCGUUCUUUUUUGUUGUUGUUGGGAUUGGGGGGUGAAUUAUUAUCGCGGCGUUAUUGUUUCCAGGUCAAGACUUUACUCAGCGGCGUGUGUGGACUGAAAAUGGCCGGAGAUGGCGGCGCUCUGAAGGAUAUCAAUGAGAUUAAAUCGCAGUUCCGGACCAGAGAGGGCUUCUACAAGCUGCUCACCCUGUCUGAUUCGCAGCAGCGGGGCGGGCUGCAAAGGGGUCCCUCCGCCGGGGCCACGCUGGGCCCGGCGACUGGAACCGGCCCGAUACCCGGCGGAGGGGUCGGGCUCCUCCAGGGGCCCGGUGCCGCCGCCGCAGCCGCUGCCGCAGCCGCCGUUGUCGCCUCAUCGUCGAAUGCCGCAGCCAACUCCUCCCCGGCGGGCUUCCUUCCGCCGGUGCGGGUCUCCAUGGUCAAGCUCCAACCCGAAGACCCGGGCGACGAGUCGGAGCGGGUGUGCUUCAACAUCGGCAGGGAGCUUUAUUUCUACACGUACACGAACAUUAAAAAGGCGGUGGACCUGAGCAAGCCAAUCGACAAGAGGAUUUACAAGGGCACGCAGCCUACGUGUCACGACUUCAACCAGUACUCGGCGUCAGCCGAUAGUGUGGCGCUCAUUGUGGGCUUCUCGGCUGGACAGGUGCAGUACCUGGACCCCAUCAAGAAGGAGACCAGCAAGCUCUUCAAUGAGGAGCGUCUGAUCGACAAAUCCAAGGUGACAUGUCUGAAAUGGCUCCCCAAGUCUGAGAACCUGUUCCUGGCCUCUCACGCCAGCGGCCACUUGUACCUCUACAACGUGGAACACUCGUGCGGCACCGCUGCGCCUCAAUACUCACUUCUGCGCCAGGGCGAGGGCUUCGCCGUGUACGCCUGCAAGACCAAGACACCCCGAAACCCCCUUCUACGGUGGGCCGUGGGCGAGGGCGGCCUCAACGAGUUCUCCUUCUCACCCGACGGGGUCCACGUGGCCUGCGUGGGUCAGGACGGCUGCCUCCGGAUCUUCCACUUUGAUUCGAUGGAGCUCCAGGGUGUGAUGCGGAGUUACUUUGGAGGCCUGCUGUGUGUUUCCUGGAGCCCAGAUGGGAAGUACCUGGCCACAGGCGGCGAGGACGACCUGGUUACCGUGUGGUCCUUCGCCGAGAGCCGGGUGGUGGCCCGCGGGCACGGACACAAGUCCUGGGUCAACGUGGUGGCGUUCGACCCCUUCACCACCUCCCUGGAGGAUGAGGAGCCCAUGGAGCUCAGUGGAAGUGAGGAGGACCUCCACCAGGGUGGGGCGCCCAACAAUACCGCCUCGCACUUCGGGCGGGUGCGCACCAGCAGCACCCUGUCACGGCUCUCCCGGCACAGCUCCAAGGGUGGCAGCUCGGCGGCCGUCACCUACCGAUUCGGAUCCGUGGGGCAGGACACCCAAUUCUGUUUAUGGGACCUCACAGACGACGUGCUGUACCCUCGGCUGCCGCUUUCCCGCGCCUUUACCAACACGUUUGGACCCACGCUGCCCAACUCCGGGGUUGGCGGCGUGGAGGGCCACCACCAUCCGCCCGUUGUGGGUACUUCCAACCCACCCACGCUGCCUCUCCCGCUCCCUCGCUCCCUAUCCCGGUCUAACUCUCUUCCCCACCCAGCAGUCGCAAACACCUCCAAGAGCCAGGGUGCCACAGAGGGUGGCACUGGUGGAACAGUAAGUGGAACUGGUACCGUGGGUGGUGGCCCAGGUAGUACCGCUCCGUUCAGCAUCGGCCGCUUUGCUACACUUUCCCUCCAGGAGCGCAAGUUGGACAAGUCGGUGGUAGGCGGUGGUGUGGAGAAAGAACACAAGCGCUACCACAGCCUGGGUAACAUCAGCAAGAGUAAUGAUAAGAUCAACGUGGCUCCGCGAGGCAGUGGGCGCCUGGAUGCCGCCAAGGUUCUGGGCACCACACUGUGCCCACGCAUGCACGAGGUGCCACUACUGGAGCCGCUGGUGUGCAAAAAGAUCGCCCACGAGAGACUCACCGUGCUUGUCUUCAUGGACGACUGCAUCAUCACAGCGUGCCAAGAGGGGCUCAUCUGCACAUGGGCCAGGCCUGGCAAGGCGGACAUGCAGUGGAACUAGGCAUUUUGGCACAAAAUGGAAACUUCACACGACAUCAGUGAAAAGGAAAGUAAAAUGAGACUGCAUGAAAAAGAGUAAUGAAGGGAACCAAAUGCUCUGUAAAACGUUGAUUCCUUUACCUACCCACCGAUGAGGCAUAAGAACUUGACAGCACAGAAUGGAAACUCUCCAAGUGGCACGGUGGUAUAGCUAGACCUUCAUCCCUCCUCAUACCAUCCCAAAAUGGAGGGCAACCAUCAAGACCAGGCCACCUCACCGCUGCAGUAUUACGGUCCACUCAUCUCGCAGAAGCUACGGCCAGCUGUAUUUAAUGUAUUUUAUCGUGAGACUGUGUAGUAAUUUAUACUGUAAAUAGUCGAAGUACUCUAACUGUGAGGAGGCUGUACAGGAAGCAAGUGAACACAUUGUAAAUGGGAACACUGAAUGUCUUUUAGGGAGUUAUGUCAUGAUGUCACCGUCUCUUAAGUUCACGCCGGAUGUGCUUGAGACGCUUCGACGGGCUCUGAAAGAGGCGUUGUCACACUCCGGUCCAAGUAACAUGACCACUCGCACAAAACAUACACACAGUCGCUGGCGGUGUAGCAUCACGUGUAUGUCACACUCAUUUGUGUUGCACAAAGGAGCAUUAGACACUCAUUGGAAAGAGAAAAACGAUGAUACUAUUACUCUAUGAGAAUGAAGACAAGAAAAAAAAACUCAAUGGUUUUAAAAGAAUCUUUAUUUCAAGAAAAAGAAAAAGUUGCUAUCUUUUUGGAGAAAGGACAUUUAAAAAAAACAUUUUUUUUCCCCUAAGAGUAAAAGAUGCAAAUCUUAGUGAAAAGGCUUGCUUUUUUUUUAUUUUGUAUUUUUUUUAAUAUAAAUAAAUUGUAAUUACCCCCCACCCCUGUGAAUAAGUCAGUUUUUUGAGAGAAAGGUAAAUUUAAUUCUUAGAGGAAAAACUGUCAUAUAAGAAGUUGCUCUUUUAUAAUUAAAACAUGUUUUUGUUUUCCAGGAAAACCGACGGUUUGAAAAAAGUUAUAUUUUAGUAAGUGAAAAGUUAGUUUUUUGGGGGGCGGGGAGGGGGGUGUAAUUUUAAGAGGGGGAAAAUACACAAACCUGAGAUGUCCCGAGGGAUUAUUUUUUUAUUCUCAAAAGGUAAAGGCAAGCGCUAAUUCUGUAAUCGUCAAUGUGUGGUUCUUCUCGAAAAUAUACUGCAUUUUUCAAGAAAAGUCAAAAUGUUCAAGAAAAUAUUUCUUUGCAAUUGCUUGAUGAAUUCUUUGUGGGUGUUUUUUUCCCCAAGAAAAGGCAUAGUUUUUCAAGUCUCAGUUCAAAGUUGCAGUUUUAGGAUUAGUGGAAUUCUUUGUCAAAAUGGUCUAGAUUAUUCAAGGAAAGUCACUUUUUGGGAAAAAUGAAAUUCUUUGACAAGAAGUCCACUUUUUUGGGCAGAAAAUGGAUAAUGUCUUACACUUCACCAUCCCUCACGAAAUCCUUCUUUUUUCUUGUAAUAUCAGAUCUUAAUUUUAAUAGUAUUUUGUUUGUUCCUUUCCAAUGUGGCUCUGAUACUCCUUGGUAGUGUUGCACCUGACUUUCCUCUUGCAAUAAUUUGCACACACAAAAACAAUUCAUGGCCCCUCUAACUCGCCACUCAGUGGACUUCACUGAAAACACACAUGAACAGAUAAAACAUUUGAAUGAAAGUCUCCUGUGAUUUAUGCUUUGCAGCGACAAUAAAAAUGAGCCAAGUAUGUUUGUGUGUCUCUCGCCACGAUGACAUCAUUCGUGUCUUUUUCUCUCGUUCGAGACCAGGAAGCUGUUGUAAUGGCCUUCCUUGGUUUCCUUUUGGAUACUAAACACGAUACUGUGAACGUAGAGCACACGUGAUGAGGACGAGAAUGAUUAUUUUUGUAAAAGUCAUGACAUGCAAUGCGACUUCUAAAUUGUGUAAACUACCUAACAAGCUGUUUAAAGCGGUGAUUCUCAAGUGGUGGGUCAGGACCAAAAGUGGGUCGCAGACAGCUAAUAAAAAAAUGACAUCAUGUAUUCCGAUAGAGAGUUCUUCUUACUAAGUUCCCACACAAAACGUAGUAG